rnacentral:rRNA from 1 species
UACGGGGGGGACGAGCGUUGUUCGGAUUUACUGGGCGUAAAGGGCGCGUAGGCGGACUUUCAAGUCGGAUGUGAAAACUGGUGGCUCAACUGCCAGCCUGCAUCCGAUACUGUUGGUCUUGAGUACAUGAGAGGAAAGCGGAAUUCCAGGUGUAGCGGUGGAAUGCGUAGAUAUCUGGAAGAACACCAGUAGCGAAGGCGGCUUUCUGGCGUGAUACUGACGCUGAAGCGCGAAGGCUAGGGGAGCAAACAGGAUUAGAUACCCCCGUA